rnacentral:rRNA from 1 species
ACACCGGCAGCUCAAGUGGUAGCCGCUUUUAUUGGGCCUAAAGCGUCCGUAGCCGGUCUGAUAAGUCUCUGGUGAAAUCCCACAGCUUAACUGUGGGAAUUGCUGGAGAUACUAUCAUGACUCGAGGUCGGGAGAGGCUGGAGGUACUCCCAGGGUAGGGGUGAAAUCCUGUAAUCCUGGGAGGACCACCUGUGGCGAAGGCUUCCAGCUGGAACGAACCAGGCGGGGAGGAACGAAGGCCAGGGGCGCGAACCGGAUUAGAUGCCCGGGUGGUCCUGGCCGUAAACGAUGUGGACUGGGUGUUGGGAUGGCUUCGAGCUGCCCCAGUGCCGAAGGGAAGCUGUUAAGUCCACCGCCUGGGAAGUACGGCCGCAAGGCUGAAACUCAAAGGAAUUGGCGGGG